GUGCUCGCUUCAGCAGCACAUAUACUAAAAUUGGAAUGAUACAGAGAUUAGCAUGGCCCCUGCGCAAGGAUGACAUGCAAAUUCAUGAAGUGUUCCAUAUUCUU
ensembl:snRNA U6 U6 spliceosomal RNA